GAUGAACGCUGGCGGCGUGCCUAAUACAUGCAAGUCGAGCGAACAGAUAAGGAGCUUGCUCCUUUGACGUUAGCGGCGGACGGGUGAGUAACACGUGGGUAACCUACCUAUAAGACUGGAAUAACUCCGGGAAACCGGGGCUAAUGCCGGAUAACAUUUAGAACCGCAUGGUUCUAAAGUGAAAGACGGUUUUGCUAUCACUUAUAGAUGGACCCGCGCGGUAUUAGCUAGUUGGUAAGGUAACGGCUUACCAAGGCAACGAUACGUAGCCGACCUGAGAGGGGGAUCGGCCACACUGGAACUGAGACACGGUCCAGACUCCUACGGGAGGCAGCAGUAGGGAAUCUUCCGCAAUGGGCGAAAGCCUGACGGAGCAACGCCGCGUGAGUGAUGAAGGUCUUCGGAUCGUAAAACUCUGUUAUUAGGGAGGAACAAAUGUGUAAGUAACUGUGCACGUCGUGACGGUACCUAAUCAGAAAGCCACGGCUAACUACGUG
rnacentral:rRNA from 1 species